AGCAAAUGUUCAACUACAAGGUAAUUCCAAAUUGUUUUCCAAGGGAUUGGGACCAAUUUAUACUCCUAUCGACAGCAUAUAAGAGCUCCUGCUGCUCUUCGUCUUCAGUAGUACUUAUAUUUUCAGACUAAAAUUUUUGCCAAUCUGCUCUGAUUGGAAGUAAGUCAGUAUUAGCAGUGUUGUUAAAAUCUCCACCAUGAAGAUCCAUGUGGGUGCUUGGAGUCUUACAAUAGAAAAGAAUGAAUGCAUUCCUUCAUAUUAAAAGACACUAAAAAGUAAUGGCAGAUGAAAUGUGGUCACGUUGAGCAGCUGCUCAGAACCUCAGUAAAGUAUGGGUCUUGAUUACAAAGAGAGAUCUAUGGAUCCCAGUUGAUGGGGAGCAGAAACACAGCUCAGAAGGGGAUUGUGGAAAGCUGGUCAGGGCACGUUUGUCCUGUGGGCCAGGAUGUCUUUAGGGGAAUAUGCAGUACAAAGAGGAAUGGGAUCUAGGCUGAGAUCUGGUCUGGUCAGGAGCAGACUGGCUGCCGGUAAAAAUGGAAAAGAAGAAACAUGUGCUCUGUAUGUUCAUCAUCCCUGUUUCCCACCUUCCUCUCCUUUGGAUUUAUGCCAGGUCUCCCAGGGAUAGGUCCCCUAGUGCCCUCUUUACUCUCCUCAAGGCCUGGUGGAUCCUAACCGAUGGAUGUUUAUGGAGAACUGGUGCUGCCACAGCCAGUAGCAGGACCUGUCUACACCUGUUGGUAACCUGAGCGUCCCACUCACCAAUCCCAGCCUUCAGGCUUUUCCACCCACAUGCCACGUCUCUUGAUCCAUUGGAAGUCAUUAGAUCAGAUUUGAACUGCCUGAGGGACAGGCUCUCCUUUUAAAUUCCAUUUAUCAAGAGCCAUUACGUGCCCAGAACUUGACGGGAUGCUUUUCCUGGAUUAUCAUAUUUAAUCCUCACACCAACAUCAGGUUACAGAUGAAGAGACCAAUUUAGAGAUUAAAUAAUUUUCCCAAGGUCACUCAACCAGUAAGCCUAGAAGUGGGAUUUGGACCUGAUUCGUUGUGUGCAAGCAUAUGCUGCAUCACACUGCCCAGGGCCAGGACGGGCAGCAGAAUGCAGCCUCCUCCACAUGUUCGCCGGACUCUCAGCAUCUAGAGAACUUUGCCCGUCAGCCAGGCAUCUCAAAGCCACAGUCACAGCUCUGGACACACAGGCGCUGAGGAGAACUGAUCGAGCAGUAAUGUCUCCAUGGGGACCAGCCAGUCAGCAACAGUGUACACACUCACUGUGUACUGACCAGGACUCAGACAAUAUGUUCUGCCAAUCCCUGGACUCCUAAUUAGCCUUCCACCUCCCAAAAUGCUCUGUCUCAGAACCCAGCCACCAAGUUGUUAUAAAUCCAAGCCACAUGGAAAGACUGCCUGUGGGAGGCACAACUCAAACUAGGUUUGAACUUUCAUUUAUAUCCAUUGUGUCACUGGAAAAAUUAGAAAUAAAUUAAGUUCUACUAAAAUCUAAUAUCCUAAUUGUCUACGGCACCAUCAUUCAUCUGCACGUCAGAGUCAACAUGUG
rnacentral:lncRNA from 1 species